ACACGACUACAUUAGAUACCCGUGUAGUCCCAGCCCUAAACGAUGCGCGUUAGGUGUAUCGGUGACCACGAGUCACCGAGGUGCCGAAGGGAAACCGUGAAACGUGCCGCCUGGGAAGUACGGUCGCAAGGCUGAAACUUAAAGGAAUUGCGGGGGAGCACCACAACGGGUGGAGCCUGCGGUUUAAUUGGACUCAACGCCGGGAAGCUCACCGGAUAAGACAGCGGAAUGAUUGCCGGGCUGAAGACCCUGCACGACCAGCUG
rnacentral:rRNA from 1 species